AGAGUUUGAUCCUGGCUCAGGAUGAACGCUGGCGGCGUGCCUAAUACAUGCAAGUCGAGCGAACCGAUUAAGAGCUUGCUCUUAAGAAGUUAGCGGCGGACGGGUGAGUAACACGUAGGUAACCUGCCUAUAAGACUGGGAUAACUCCGGGAAACCGGGGCUAAUACCGGAUAACAUUUUGCACCGCAUGGUGCGAAAUU
rnacentral:rRNA from 1 species